GGGUAGCGGAACACGUACAGAACCUACCUUGAUCUGGGGCAUAGCCCGAAGAAAUUCGGAUUAACUCCCCAUAACAUACUAUAGAGGCAUCUUUUAGGUAUUAAAAAUUUAUUGGAUCGAGAUGGCUGUGCGUCCCAUUAGCUAGUUGGUAGGGUAACGGCCUACCAAGGCGACGAUGGGUAGCUGGUGUGAGAGCACGACCAGCCACACGGGCACUGAGACACGGGCCCG
rnacentral:rRNA from 1 species